ACUCUCCUAUUAGAUUAGCUACGUGUAAUUUUAGAGUAUGAAUUAAUACAAAUUUGCUUUAAUUAACGAAUUUGGGCUUUCCGAAAAAAAUAAUGUUUCAAUGAACAUGAAUGGUGAUUUGUGAAUUCAUGAUUUGUUUAAGCAAUACUUAUAAAGUUUGUUAUUAAGCCAGCUACUAUUGAUAGAUGACUCACUAAGGCGAAAUAAACAUCUAUCAACACAACAUGCCCAAUGGCGUCAGCAAAAACGUCACCAGAAAAGUGCUGAUAUACUAUAUACAUACAUAUGUGUGAAGUUUUCAUACAUUUUCCACUUGUGCUACCUCUUUCCUUUACCGCCAACGGAAAACUGCAGUUGGGUCAUUGCCACCGUCAUAAGUUAAGCGCCUGUCUUGUUAGUAUAUACUAUUGGUGAGUGAACCAUGAGGUGGGCCCGUGUAGUAAACAAGACCACACAAAAAAAAAGAAUUGAGAAACAACAUAAUUGAGAACAACAAAUCAUUUUGGCUCAGACAUUCUUCAAAUAUUGAGUUAAGAAUGCAAUGAGGCAACCACUCGAUGGGUUCAAAUCAUUGAAUUAUAUUUCGGCGAAUGUCAUUAUACUAAUUAAAUGUAGGCACAGUCUUAGGUAUUUACUCAGCGGCUUGAGCGUGCAAAUGUUUUGUUAAAAUUGCAUUUAAUUUUGAAAUAAUAAUGACAAAUUGUUCAAAGGCCUCGGUCAAAUACAGA